rnacentral:rRNA from 1 species
GACGAACGCUGGCGGCGUGCCUAAUACAUGCAAGUAGAACGCACAGUUUAUGCCGUAGCUUGCUACACCAUAGACUGUGAGUUGCGAACGGGUGAGUAACGCGUAGGUAACCUGCCUGGUAGCGGGGGAUAACUAUUGGAAACGAUAGCUAAUACCGCAUAAUAUUGAUUAUUGCAUGAUAAUUGAUUGAAAGAUGCUAUUGCAUCACUACCAGAUGGACCUGCGUUGUAUUAGCUAGUAGGUGAGGUAACGGCUCACCUAGGCGACGAUACAUAGCCGACCUGAGAGGGUGAUCGGCCACACUGGGACUGAGACACGGCCCAGACUCCUACGGGAGGCAGCAGUAGGGAAUCUUCGGCAAUGGACGAAGGUCUGACCGAGCAACGCCGCGUGAGUGAAGAAGGUUUUCGGAUCGUAAAGCUCUGUUGUAAGAGAAGAACGGGUGUGAGAGUGGAAAGUUCACACUGUGACGGUAUCUUACCAGAAAGGGACGGCUAACUACGUG